rnacentral:rRNA from 1 species
AUACGACUCUCGGCAACGGAUAUCUAGGCUCUCGGAUCGAUGAAGAACGUAGCAAAAUGCGAUACUUGGUGUGAAUUGCAGAAUCCCGUGAAUCAUCGAGUUUUUGAACGCAAGUUGCGCCCGAAGCCAUU